rnacentral:rRNA from 1 species
AUACCGGCUGCUCGAGUGAUGGCCACUAUUACUGGGUUUAAAGCGUCCGUAGCUUGACUGUUAGGUCUCUUGGGAAAUCUUUUGGCUUAACCAAAAGGCGUCUAAGAGAUACCGGCAUUCUUGGAACUGGGAGAGGUAAGCCGUACUUCGGGGGUAGGAGUGAAAUCUUGUAAUCCUCGAGGGACGACCUAUGGCGAAGGCAGCUUACCAGAACAGCUUCGACAGGGAGGGACGAAAGCUGGGGGAGCAAACGGGAUUAAAUACCCCGGUAGUCCCAGCCGUAAACAAUGUGCGUUAGGUGUGUCGGUUACCACGCGUAACUGAUGCGCCGAAGAGAAAUCGUGAAACGCACCACCUGGGAAGUACGGUCGCGAGGCUGAAACUUAAAGGAAUUGACGGGG